UUGAUGACUGGAUCAGGAAAUGCCUGUGAUGCUUGGGUAUUCAGGCAAGCUACAGGUCAAAGAUGCGUAACCUUGGAUGUCCAGUGACCGCCGUUUUCCAGAAGAAGAAGGUCAUAAGUUCCAGAAGAAGGUUUAAAGGACAUAAAAUGACCAAACAUUUGAGGAUUUUGCAAGGUACAGAGACUGUACAUCUGAGGAGGGAGGCAGCCAUCAAGACACUGUGCCUUUAUUUUGGUGAAGAUGAUGAUUCUCUCAUACAUGUACAUGGAUAUCCAUGGCAAGGAGGUGUCAAGAGAAAACCACCCCUUGGAACAUGAGGACAUCGGCAUCGUUGUGGAUGGAGGCAUCAUUUUGGAGGAACCUUGGUCUGUUGCACAAGGCUGUGCAGUGAAGCCAGAGACUUUCUAAUGAGGAGACACAGCACUCAAAAAAU